CCCAGCCUCCCAGGGAAGAAUUCCUUCCUAAUAUUAACCUAAAUUUCCUCUUUCCGUUUGUACCAUCACUCCUUGUCCCAUCACCGCAUUCCUGACGUGCCUGAGAUCCACUGGGCAGAUCUGGAGUUGGUCAUCCAGGGACAAGGAUUCCUCUGCUUUCAUGGAAGAGUUUCCCUCCCAGAUGCCCAUUUGCACAUGAUGAGGAGGGAUGCUCUCUCCAGGAGACAGGAAUGUUUUCCACAAGUUCCCAGGAGUGGGGGAGUGACAGCUGAAGGCUGAGCCCGUGGAAUACUUGGACCUGUUGCUCGCAGCUCAAUGGAGCAGCGUUCCUUGGUGGCAGACACUUCCUCACACAUGGAAAACGUGGAAACCCCAAGCUUCCUAAAAGCCCAAAAUAUUACCCUCCAGCAUAUGGCACCCAGGAGCUUCCAGAAAGGAGCACAUGGGGAAUUGGCACCUGAGCUGGCAUGGGUGGCACCUGAAUGGCACCUGGAAUGUGGAAUGACAGUCUUGACCCAGGAAUGUCCCAUUAUGUGCUCAGCAGUAAUAGAUAUUUC